UUAAUUUCACCUCGAUAAAUUAUCACAUGGCUGAAAAACACAUAAAAGAUUUAUGGCACAUAUUUUCACAUAUGCGCAUACGGAUCUUAUUAAAUAUAAAAGUAAUCUGAAAAAUAUAGAGAAAUAUGAAGUUUUGAUGUUGCACGGUUUGUACUUCUUUUCAAUCGAUAAGAAAAUCGAAAAAUCGAUGUUUUCCAUCAAUUCAUGGAUGAUGGAAAAUCCAAGUUAUACGUGCUGCUAACUUGUAGUCUUAUCACUUUGUGGCAAGGCUGUUGUAAACAAGUCUGGUAGCUCAAUGCAAGGAACAGUGAAUGCUCACCAACUCAAUACGACUCGGUUGCCAGCCGGAUACAUCAUUAUGAAAUCAUAAUAUAGUAUAUUUAAGCUCAGUAUAGUGACAUACAUAAAUACGUGAAAAUGACACGUUGCGCAUCUCUAAACUGAGUCAAUCAUACAAUAUGACAAAUCCUUGCACAGCACAUCAAUAAAUUGUGAUUGCAUGUA